rnacentral:rRNA from 2 species
GGACUACAAGGGUUUCUAAUCCUGUUUGCUCCCCUAGCUUUCGUGCCUCAGCGUCAGGACCUGUCCAGGGACUCGCCUUCGCCACUGGUGUUCCUCUCGAUAUCUACGCAUUUCACUGCUACACCGAGAAUUCCAGUCCCCCCUCCAGACCUCAAGCCGAAUAGUAUCCAAUGCAGUUUCGGAGUUGAGCUCCGAGAUUUCACAUCAGACUUACCCGACCGCCUACGCACCCUUUACGCCCAGUGAAUCCGAACAACGCUUGGGACCUCUGUAUUACCGCGGCGGCUGGCAC